ACUGAGGAGUCCCACAAUAGGACGAAACGACCGUCU
rnacentral:hammerhead_ribozyme from 1 species